rnacentral:rRNA from 1 species
AUUGAACGCUGGCGGCAUGCCUAACACAUGCAAGUCGAACGAGUGGCGGACUGGUGAGUAAUGUCUUGGAAACUGCCCGAUGGAGGGGGAUAACUACUGGAAACGGUAGCUAAUACCGCAUACCAUCGUAUCUGCCCUGACGGAAUUAGCUAGUAGGUGGGGUAACGGCUCACCUGGGCGACGAUCCCUAGCUGGUCUGAGAGGCUGACCAGCCACACGGGAACUGAGACACGGUCCAGACUCCUACGGGAGGCAGCAGUGGGGAAUAUGGGACAAUGGGCGAAAGUCUGAUGCAGCCAUGCCGCGUGUGUGAAGAAGGCCUUCGGGUUGUAAAGUACUUUCAGCGAGGAGGCGUUAUUCGCAGAAGAAGCAACGGCUAACUCCGUGCCAGCCGCCGCGGUAAUUC